rnacentral:rRNA from 1 species
CGAAAGGGUGUGUAACACGUGGGUAAUUUGCCUUGAAGUUGGGAACAACUUGCCGAAAGGUGAGCUAAUACCGAAUGUGACUCCGGGGGGGCAUUCUCCUGGAUUUAAAGUUGGGGACCGAAAGGCCUGACGCUUCAAGAUAAGCUCGCGGCCUAUCAGCUUGUUGGUAGGGUAAAGGCCUACCAAGGCUAAGACGGGUAGCUGGUCUGAGAGGACGAUCAGCCACACUGGAACUGAGACACGGUCCAG